CUGUUUCAACUUAGCUCCAACUCUUUUUUUCUUUUUUCCAUCAAGAUUUAAACCUGUCAUCCUCGACAUUUGGGGCAGAAACUGCUGAAAUGAAGGAGGACUUGCCAUCAAAGAACUGGCUGAAAGGAGUUAGCACACCACUCCUCUGCCCUGAACAGCUCUAAGCAAGAGGAGGAGCCUGUGGCAGGGCGUGAUAUGAAGUCCUCAGAGAUAGAGUGCCAAGAGUAGAGGGGGUAUCCUGGAACUUCAGUGUUUGCAGAAAAAUUCUUCUGGGGAAUAAAGCAUAGAGAAAUGAAGAGCUAAGAUACAGAGGAGCUUCCCAAGACCAUGUUUGAACACUUGUAAACAGCCAUGCCUGGACUUCUGAGUUAAACGAGCCACUAAUCUUUGGAGUAAAUUUCUAUGCAGCAAAUCUAUUGAUGAUACAAGGGGGCUUCGCAAAUAAUGGUUAUGGACUUCAGAAGGCCCAAUGGAUCAGCUUCAGAACCAGUGGAAGGAGGGUGGAGCUGACAGAACAGGUGACUUGCUGCUUCAAGCUGACCUCUGAAGCGAGUAUACACAGGCCACUUGUACAUUCUUCAUCAAAUCAUUAAGAAGUCAAAUGAAAAUGACCAACCACUUUCUCUGACAUUUAUUAUAUAUAUGAAAGGCAUUUAGGAGAUGUAAAGACCAGGCAAUUGUGAAACAACUAUAAAGAUGCAAGACUGAAAGCCUCAAGCGUGACAUUCAGCUGCUCAGUUAUGCCAGCAAAAUGGAUUAGUAGAAGAUUCUAAGUUAUGGUGACUGAGUGAAGGAGAUGAUUGCUGGAAGAAUUAAAGCUGGCUGUCUGGAAGGAAUUUAGGAAGACGUAGUGGUUAUAUAAUACUGAAAUCCUAGGAAACUGGAGAGUAUGUAUUCUUGGCUUAUCAUUUAUUUCUGUUUGGAAAUGAUGGGGCAUUAUGAAGCUUUCCUAGAAGUUCCUAAAGGAGAAGUCAAGCAGCAGACACAUCUUCAUAAUGAUUCAGAAGACCUUCAGCUUACGGAGUGAAGCUUUACUGUGAACGGAGAGUAUUAUGCAGACAUAGCCUGCAGAGGAACUGCUGGGCAGAUUGGUGUCCAUAUGAAUUCCUUUGGCAAGAGUGCCCUGGAAAGAGACUUUCUCUACUUUUAAAUGAAGAAUUCUGGGUUGCUCAUUAUAUCUGAAAGAUGGAUGUAAUGGAAAUGAGUGAUGGAACAGCUCUACAACAGCAACUCUGUGCUUCACUGUGGUUUGCUGCCCUGGAAUAAUAUCUGCUACUUUUGUCUUCACCAAAAUCAUGUGGUUCCCUCACCAGUGUCAUUUACUCGCCCAAACUUUAACUUAGUGAUGGAGGUGGAUUAGUCCCCUGAACCUUGAGAACAUAUGUUUUUUUCUUAUGCAUCAUAAUUGGGAAGUUUUUCUUCAAAAUAUCACUAGGCUGAAAAUGAAGUUCUUUAAAAGACUUAUAGAAAGGUAGCGAAAAGAUGUUUUCUUUUUAAUGGAUGUCAGUGGAAAUGCAGUAUAUAUAGUAGGUCCUGAGAAGACUUAACAGAUAUGUGACAUGAAAAUAUGUUUCCUCUCAAAUCCAUGCUUGCCAGAACUUUAUUUUUAAAUAGCAGAAGCCUCGCAAGGAAAUGUGAAAGGCUGGUACUAUUAAAAAGGUCUGAGUUAUUAAAAAAAAUACAUAUGCAUUCCUACAUGAGACAUAUACCUUAAAGAAGGACUGCCUUCUAACACAGAUUUUGUUUUUGUUUUUUUACUUGGCAUAACAGAGAAGUCAACACGCUAAUCAAUAAGUGCCAUCUAUUUUUGAUUGACCUUAAUUUUCUGAAUGACUGCUUUUCUUCAAAUAUUUUAAGUCAUGACUAAAUUUCAUUUAAUAAGAAAUGUUUAGGUUAGUUUGUAAAUAAGAAAUCAGAUAUUCUGAAUCCAAACCUGGAAUUACAUUUCAAUAAUGCUUAAUUUAUUUCAUAUUUUAGCCAACUGAUUUGUAAUUGUAUUAAGGCUCCCAGGAUAAACUCCAUGGUUAAUUUGGCCCUUUAAAGGUCAACAACAUAUAAGGGCAUAUGUACUUUAAUUCUACUUUAUUCUGAUAUUUCAUAAAACAAUAAUGUAUUAGUCUGUUCUCAUGCUGCUGAUAAAGAUAUACCCAAGACUGAGUAAUUUAUAAAGGAAAGAGAUUAAUUGACUCACAGUUCCACAUGGCUGGGGAGGCCUCACAAUCAUGGAGGAAGGCAACGAGGAGCAAAGUGAUGUCUUACAUGUAGGCAGGCAAGAGAGCUCAUGUGCUGGGGAACUCCGCUUUAUAAAGCCAUCAGAAAUUGUGAGACUUAUUCACUAUUAUGAGAACAGCACCAAAACGACCACACCCAUGAUUCAGUUACCUCCCACUGGGUACCUCCAACGACAUGUGGGAAUUAUGGGAGAUACAAUUCAAGAUUUGGGUGAGGACACAGCCAAAUCAUAUCAAAUGGCAUGAGAUUUAUUGUAAAGAAAUGGUCAGAUGUGAACACUUGGCUAGAACAAGUCUCAGCUGUGAGAGGAGAUUGGAAGGCCAACUAGGACAGGCAAAGAGGUAAUUAAAGAGUACCUGGAACCUCUGUGUACAGUGGAACUAGCAGAGCCAGAUGACUAGCAGUGUAAUGCAGUGGAAAGAGAAUUGGAUGAAUCUUCAGAACACUCAGGCUCCAUCUCAACUCACCUUACUUACUAAUUGAGUGACCUUGGGACAGAAAGGCCUCUGAACCUUGCCCUCCAUUCUUGCAGAACAGGGAUAAUAUUACCGUCUUCAUGGGACUGUUCUACAGAGAAAAUGAAAUAAAUCAUGAAAUACUAUUUGGACCUAGGGAAUAUUUAACAGUUGCAGAUGUCACUGCACAGCUGCCAGUCUUCGGUUUUGAGAAAUCAUGGAGGACAAUUCUCUGCAAGAUAGCAAGUGGAGUAUCAGCUUACACUGAUACCUGGGAAGCUAGCGGAAAAAAUCAUUAAGCAAUUAAUUAGCAACGAUUUAAAAGAACCAAGAAGUUGGAAAGCAACCCAUAUGGCUUUAAGAUCAAAUGGUACCUUUCCAAUUUUGUUGCCCUCGCUAAUUGAGGAACAGCCCAAAAGAUGCUCUAGUCUGAGGAAUCAAAAAAGCAUAUAUCCAUCUAAAGGUGAGCUGUCGAUUUUCAUGUUGGAAUGUGGAUAUUCUAAUAAAAAAAGAAGCUGAAUAUUUCCUGAUUUUUAAAGAUGGCAACUAAUUUAAAACAGUAACACACGGUGUAGGCCAACACAAAAUGUAUUAGUAGGCUGGUUUCAACCCUGGGGCCACCACCUUGCAACGUCUGAAAUGAAGUAUUCACCAGCAACCCACAGGAAGGCUUGCUUUGGCUAAUCUAUGGUCAAGACAGAAACAAAUUUCAACACCGUGGAAACUGGGACUCAUUGGAGAUGGCGUAGAGGCAGAAAAGACUGAGCGAGUUGUGGAAAAGGCUGAGCAGGAAGAGGAAGCAGAAGAAUGGUAGAAGGAUGUUCAGUGAGAUGUUGCCAUGCAAGGGCAAGGUUAUUAGAGCUGCUGCAGCCAUCUUGUGACAAUAAAAGAGAACCAAGAGGAUUUCAGAGAUACCAUCCCACAUCCUGACAUUAUGUAGCUUCUGAACCAUCUGUCUCCAUGGAUCUUGCUAUGUGAGCUUCUCUAUGCCACCUGAAUUCCUUGGCUUGCAGCCCCUUCCUCCAUCUUCAAAAUCAUCGGAAGAAACAAAAACAAGCUGUGGUGAAGAAGAAACGUUUUCUAAAGCCUCUUUUAUCCCCAGGAUGGUUGAGAAGUCAGAGGCCUGCAAUGCUAGGAAGAGAGGAUCUAAAAUGUCCUUUUCACCGUGAUGUAAGUAGGCUCUCCAGCAGUCCCAGAAGACUUUCACAAGAGGAGUUUCAGACAACAGAAAAUAAGCCUAAGUGAUUGUGUGAAUAUCACAGAGCAACAGAGAAAAUGUGGAUCACUCCAACUCUAGCACAAGGUCGGGGAGGAAAAAAAACCAGAGAGUUUGGAAUUUCUAAAUGCUCGUGUUUGAGAAAUGGGGAGCAUCACAAACUAACAGCAGAGGUGGACAUUUUUUACAGGGUAAAGGAUUCCCAUGGAACAGCACUCGUCAAAUGCAAAUAAAAAUUGUACAAAGAAGGUAACUUCUUUCUCUGUCCCCACAUCUCUCCAUCUGAAACUUCAUUCUUCCAUUAAAACAGAAUUGUGCUUUGUGAUGUAUAAA